rnacentral:rRNA from 1 species
AGGACUACCCGCUGAACUUAAGCAUAUCAAUAAGCGGAGGAAAAGAAACUAACAAGGAUUCCCCUAGUAACUGCGAGUGAAGCGGGAAAAGCUCAAAUUUAAAAUCUGGCAGUCUUUGGCUGUCCGAGUUGUAAUCUAGAGAAGCAUUAUCCGCGUUGGACCGUGUACAAGUCUCCUGGAAUGGAGCGUCAUAGAGGGUGAGAAUCCCGUCUUUGACACGGNACUGCCAAGGCUUUGUGAUGUGCUCUCAAAGAGUCGAGUUGUUUGGGAAUGCAGCUCAAAAUGGGUGGUAAAUUCCAUCUAAAGCUAAAUAUUGGCGAGAGACCGAUAGCGAACAAGUACCGUGAGGGAAAGAUGAAAAGAACUUUGGAAAGAGAGUUAAACAGUACGUGAAAUUGCUGAAAGGGAAACGCUUGAAGUCAGUCGCGUUGGCCAGGGAUCAACCUUGCUUUUGCUUGGUGUACUUUCUGGUUGACGGGUCAGCAUCAAUUUUGACUAUUGGAAAAAAGUCAAGGGAAUGUGGCAUCUUCGGAUGUGUUAUAGCCCUUGGUUACAUACAAUAGUUGGGAUUGAGGAACUCAGCACGCCGCAAGGCCGGGUUUUUAACCACGUACGUGCUUAGGAUGCUGGCAUAAUGGCUUUAAUCGACCCGUCUUGAAACACGGACCAAGGAGUCUAACAUGCCUGCGAGUGUUUGGGUGGAAAACCCGAGUGCGUAAUGAAAGUGAAAGUUGAGAUCCCUGUCGUGGGGAGCAUCGACGCCCGGACCAGACCUUUUGUGACGGUUCCGCGGUAGAGCAUGUAUGUUGGGACCCGAAAGAUGGUGAACUAUGCCUGAAUAGGGUGAAGCCAGAGGAAACUCUGGUGGAGGCUCGUAGCGAUUCUGACGUGCAAAUCGAUCGUCAAAUUUGGGUAUAGGGGGGCGAAAGACUAAUCGAA